rnacentral:rRNA from 1 species
AACGAACGCUGGCGGCGCGCCUAAUACAUGCAAGUCGAGCGAGAAGACGUAGCAAUACGUUUGUAAAGCGGCGAACGGGUGAGGAAUACAUGGGUAACCUACCCUCGAGUGGGGAAUAACUAGCCGAAAGGUUAGCUAAUACCGCGUACGCUCCUUGGACUUCGGUUCAGGGAGGAAAGCGAUACCGUGGGUAUCGCGCUCUUGGAUGGGCUCAUGUCCUAUCAGCUUGUUGGUGAGGUAACGGCUCACCAAGGCUUCGACGGGUAGCUGGUCUGAGAGGACGAUCAGCCACACUGGCACUGCGACACGGGCCAGACUCCUACGGGAGGCAGCAGUAAGGAAUAUUGCGUAAUGGGCGAAAGCCUGACGCAGCGACGCCGCGUGGGGGAUGAAGGUCUUCGGAUU